GGCCAACGGGUGAGGAUCACGUGAAAAACGUGGCCCAGACUCUGGGAUAACAAUUGGAAACGAUUGCUAAUACCGGAUGACGUCGGAGAAUCGCAUGAUUCACUGACGAAAGAUAUUUCGGUUUGGGAGCGUCUCGCGGCCUAUCAGCUUGUUGGUGGGGUAAUGGCCUACCAACGGCAACGACGGGUAGACUGGUCUGAUAGGAUGAUAGCCACACUGGGACUGAUGACGGCCCAGACUCCUACGGGAGGCAGCAGUGGGGAAUCUUGCGCAAUGGGCGAAAGCCUGACGCAGCAACGCCGCGUGCGGGAUGAAGGCCUUCGGGCUGUAAACCGCUUUCUGCAGGAACGAAAAUGACGGUACCUGCAGAAGAAGGAGCGGCCAACUACGUGCCAGCAGCCGCGGUGACACGUAGGCUCCAAGCGUUGUCCGGAUUUAUUGGGCGUAUAGAGCUCGUAGGCGGUUGACUAAGUCGGGUGUGAAAACUCUGGGCUUAACCCGGAGACUCCAUCCGAUACUGCUCUGACUA
rnacentral:rRNA from 1 species